rnacentral:rRNA from 1 species
GUGACGCAGAAGUGACACUCCCGCGUGCUGACGAAUGCACGUUAAAGGGCGUAGGCUUGGAGGUAGGCAAAUCCGCCUCCUGUACGGCUGAAACCUGACAGUACUCGGAUUCUCACGAUGAAGAGAUAGUGGAGGUAAUCAUGCUGCCAAGAAAAGCGUCGUAGUUUGUUGGAAGUGCUCGUACCCCAAACCGACACAGGUGGGUGAGGAGAGUAUCCUAAGGUGCUCGAGUAAUUCAUGGCUAAGGAACUAGGCAAAUUGGAUCCGUAACUUCGGGAGAAGGAUCCCCUGACUCUGUCAGGGCGCAGUGAAAAGGCCCAAGCGACUGUUUACCAAAAACACAUGUCUCUGCUAAGCCGCAAGGCGAUGUAUAGGGACUGACACCUGCCCGGUG